rnacentral:lncRNA from 1 species
GGGGUAAAACUAUUGUUCAUGGAAAGGACGAUGCUGUAAAUCAAUUGAUCUGGGAAUCCAAGGCUGGAAGAGGUGACAAGCAGAAGGGGACGGUAACUAUUAUUAUGAUUUGAGGACGAGUCCGUGAACCAUUAAGGGUGUUUGGUACCCAAUUAUAGCUAUGUUGGUGCAAGCCUAGACCACGGUGUCCAUGGUUUCGAGCGCCACGGCGGGAAUUGCCUUUUUCUUUUUUUUCUUUUUGGUUUUAAGUAAAUAGAGAAAUUGUAUGGCAAUCCAGGGGACUUGCAUGUCUGGCCUGAUUGUACUUUGUUAGCCAG